rnacentral:lncRNA from 1 species
CUGCUACACAUUCAAAUAUGGAAGUUAGGUAAUUCUAAAACAAAAAGUUCAUUUCUUACUUUGGGCCGCCCACAGUUCACAAUCAAAUCAGACCUUAAGUUUGAAUAACAUAAUAUUACCUUGAUGUUGUAUAAACCACUAAGAAAAUCCUUUUAUUACAUUUAACAUAUAAUACAACAACUUAGUCUUCAAGAGCUCAUGCUUUACCUAUCCUUAUGCUUCUUAAUCUGGGGACGUAGAAAGAGCACAUACUAAAAAUGUCGGCUUCUCUUCGUC